AAACUCCAUGCACUGCCCUAUGAUAAAGGUAAUAUUUGGAGAUUUGAAAAUUAUUUUUUGGUGAAGUUUUAGUGGUGAUGUACUCUCAAAUUUGUUAUCUCAUUUCUUCCCCUGGAUUAAAGAGAUCAGGCAUC
rfam:Echinops telfairi cont1.579409, whole genome shotgun sequence.